rnacentral:rRNA from 1 species
UUCGGGGUGCAGCAGGCGCGAAAACUUUACAAUGCGGGAAACCGUGAUAAGGGGACACCGAGUGCCAGCAUCAUAUGCUGGCUGUCCAGGUGUGUAAAAUACACCUGUUAGCAAGGGCCGGGCAAGACCGGUGCCAGCCGCCGCGGUAACACCGGCGGCCCGAGUGGUGAUCGUGAUUAUUGGGUCUAAAGGGUCCGUAGCCGGUUUGGUCAGUCCUCCGGGAAAUCUGAUAGCUUAACUAUUAGGCUUUCGGAGGAUACUGCCAGACUUGGAACCGGGAGAGGUAAGAGGUACUACAGGGGUAGGAGUGAAAUCUUGUAAUCCCUGUGGGACCACCUGUGGCGAAGGCGUCUUACCAGAACGGGUUCGACGGUGAGGGACGAAAGCUGGGGGCACGAACCGGAUUAGAUACCCGGGUAGUCCCAGCCGUAAACGAUGCUCGCUAGGUGUCAGGCAUGGCGCGACCGUGUCUGGUGCCGCAGGGAAGCCGUGAAGCGAGCCACCUGGGAAGUACGGCCGCAAGGCUGAAACUUAAAGGAAUUGGCGGGGGAGCAC